UCUCCCCUGCUCGCGCACUCUGGUGUGCUUUCUCUCUCUCAAAAUAAAUACAUAAACGUAAAAAAAAGAAUUCGAACUUGGCAGCUGGAAGGUGGAAGGGGCCGCUGAGAUCAUUUCAUGGGUGAGAAAGCGGGGAACCAGGAAAUCUUCAUUGACUCCAGAUCCUCAGGCUAGAACUGAAGCCUGUCUCCUCAUUUGUUCUCACUUCUGGAUCCCUGGAGUCAGAGGGAGCCUCCAGAUUCUGUCUCUACAAUACAUAGUUGUAAUUCUGAUUCUCUGCUGCUUAAUUUGGGGCAUCAUGGAGUCCAGAGAAUUAGGAACAAGUGUAUCAGCAAAAGCACUGAUCCCAGUAGAUGGCAAUUGAUUCUGUCAAAAAACUUUACAAACAUUGGGGCGCCUGGGUGGCUCAGUCAGUUAAGCAUCCAGCUUCAGCCCAGUGAAAAGGUGGAAGGCCAUCUGUGCUGGGAAACCGCACAGCUCUGGGAGGGGCCUGGAGAUUACAUACCUUGGGCAAGUCACUCAACCAUGCCCAGAUUCGGCUUUAUGAAUCCACACAGCGGGCAGGAGAAGAAAAAGGAAUGCCUGCUUACCUCUGCCAACGUCUGGUUCCCACUGCACAGCCAGAAGAGGGCCGACAAGUUUUGGCCUGCCACGGGAGGUCACCAUGUAAACACAAGGGGGACACAGCUCUUGCUUCCAGACUGCAGUCUUCUUAGUUCCAUUCCUUCGGCUGUCAGUGGGCUCUGCUAAGUGAAAUGCACAAAAGGAAAAAUAGAUUUGAGGCUUGGCCAGACUUGGUGUGCACCAUGACAUCUGCAGUGUUGCCUUCUGAAAGCAUUCUUCCAGCAAGAACUUAAAUAAUGUUUUCCAGGAGCCUGGGGCUGAGGCCAUCUGGUUCCCCCCACCGCUCCCUGGAUGCAGGGGACUUCAGACCACUAACUUCUGCCCUUCCCAGGGGGGUUUCCCACCGACUUCAGCAAAGCAUCCAAUGUUCUGAUAACCUGG